rnacentral:rRNA from 1 species
GAUGAACGCUGGCGGCGUGCCUAAUACAUGCAAGUCGAGCGAACAGACGAGGAGCUUGCUCCUCUGACGUUAGCGGCGGACGGGUGAGUAACACGUGGAUAACCUACCUAUAAGACUGGGAUAACUUCGGGAAACCGGAGCUAAUACCAGAUAAUAUAUUGAACCGCAUGGUUCAAUAGUGAAAGACGGUUUUGCUGUCACUUAUAGAUGGAUCCGCGCCGCAUUAGCUAGUUGGUAAGGUAACGGCUUACCAAGGCAACGAUGCGUAGCCGACCUGAGAGGGUGAUCGGCCACACUGGAACUGAGUCACGGUCCAGACUCCUACGGGAGGCAGCAGUAGGGAAUCUUCCGCAAUGGGCGAAAGCCUGACGGAGCAACGCCGCGUGAGUGAUGAAGGUCUUCGGAUCGUAAAACUCUGUUAUUAGGGAAGAACAAAUGUGUAAGUAACUAUGCACGUCUUGACGGUACCUAAUCAGAAAGCCACGGCUAACUACGUG